rnacentral:rRNA from 1 species
UACGGAGGGAGCUAGCGUUGUUCGGAAUUACUGGGCGUAAAGCGCACGUAGGCGGCUAGGUCCGUCCGAUGUGAAAGCCCCCGGCUCAACCGGGGAAUUGCAUCGGAUACAGCCUGGCUUGAGGACGGUUGGGGUGAGUGGAACUCCUGGUGGAGCGGUGAAAUGCGUAGAUAUCAGGAGGAACACCGGUGGCGAAAGCGGCUCACUGGACCGUUACUGACGCUGAGGUGCGAAAGCUAGGGGAGCAAACGGG